rnacentral:lncRNA from 1 species
UUAUGGCCACAUUUGUGAAAUUAUCCUUUUUUGUAAAUAAUAUCCAUAAAAUUUUAGUUUAUUUUACGGUACUUAACUUUUUCAACUGUUCAUUUAAACAUAUUUAAAAUCUUAAAAACUUAAAUUCUAUUAUUUUCUUUUAAAUUUUAAAAAUAACAGUAAUAAAUUAUUUAUUUUAAAUGUUGGAGCUCAUUGUGGCCAUAUUUGUGAUAGUAUAUUUUUUGUAGGUAAUCUCCACAAAAUAUCUAAAACAAUUAUAUGAUUAUUGGGAUACGAACCAAGUCUCCAAAACUAAUAAAUAAUAUUUUUACUACUAAACCAAAAGUAUUUUGUUAUAUAGAAAAUGUGCCCAAUUUUAUUUUUUUUAACUCUUUUAAAAGAUGUUUGGGGUAUGUUUAACCAAAAAAAAAAAAAACUUAGAAGGAGCUGAAGGCCCUCCUAGGCCUUACUAGGUCCGCCUAUGUAUGUAUUUAUAUGUAUAUAAAUUAAUUCUAUGAUAGAUAGAGUAAUCGUCACAUCUCGAAUAAGUAUCAUUCAGAUUUAUAUAGAAUCUCAAGGACAUAUUGAUCCAUAUAAAGUUUAGACAAUCCUAACUCUUAAACUAACUUUUGAAUCCAUAAAAUAAAGAAUGGAGAUAAAAAUGAAGCUUAAUUACCUUUAACUUCAGUAAUUCCUUUCAAUUGAUUGGUUUGCCAGUCAAUAACACGAUCGCGCAAAUUGCGCUCCGCGACUUUUUGGAUGGAAAAAUUUGAUGUUUUUGGAUGAAAAAAUUUGCUUAAUUACCUUUAACUUCAGUACUUCCUUUCAAUUGAUUGGUUUGCCAGUCAAUAACACGAUCGCGUAAAUUGCGCUCCGCGACUUCCAAGAUUAAGAAAAAUUUGAUGUUUUUGGAUGAAAAAAAUAGCAUUAGUUAAGAGUUGAUCAAGCCACGUUAUCUUCUUUCAGGAAAUUAUUUUCCAUCCACAUUAUAUAUACUUGACUUGUCGACCUAAUCGACAUCCACAAGAACUUUCAUUAUUAUUAUUAUUAUUAUUGAUGUUAGUAACAAAAGAAGAGGCAAAAUUAUUACGAUAGAAAGUCAAGAUACAAGACUCAUGGAGAGCAAAAUGGGCGGUGCCCUUGACAAUGACCAUAAAACUACAGCUUCCACGGGGCAUAACUAAAGACCACAAGUAAUAGAAAGCCAUAAGGAUGUACAUUGGCGUUAAGUUAAUUGUUAUUAAUUAUGUUAAUUAUUUAUGUCACUCAAUAGCAUUCAUAAAGAUUAACAUGUUAAGGCACAAACAAUAUUAUUAUCAAAUAUUCCCCUUAUCAAUUGUAAACUUCGAACUUUUAGAAAUUGAGAGUUUUUAUUAUCAAGAUAAUGUUAGUUAGUGCGGUUAAUUUGAUCAAAUCCAAAUUUAUUACUUUUCAGGAAAAGUUUUAAGUAAUGUAGCUCUUUGUACGUAAUUCCUUAAUGUUGAUACAAGCUUAAUAGUUUUUAACUAUUAAGAUAUUAAAAUUUUGACAUACAAGUGUCAUCACUUAUUGAUCUGAAAAAAAAAAAAAAGAAAGAUAAAAGAAGUGGGAAAAAAAUUGCCACAAAAAAAAAGAGAGAUGAGAAGUGGUUGUUUCUAGACUGAGCUUGAUUCAAAGUCACAAAAUAAAACAACAUAAAUGAUACAACUACAAAUAUUUGUACAAAUUGAGUUAGUAGCUUGUAUGACAUAAUUAGAUUGAUGGAAUAAAAUAUCAUAGAACCUAUGUUAAUUAUUUUCCUAAGUAGAAUCUUGGAGAAAAGGAAAAGUAAAAACCCUUCAUCUUAAUUACUAGCUAAUCAAAUUGAAUAUAUAAUUUUUUUUUAUAGAGCAAUAUUAUGUUACUUAUUGGGAUAUUCAUUU